rnacentral:rRNA from 1 species
GUACGGUGCGAGCGUUAAUCGGAAUUACUGGGCGUAAAGCGUGCGCAGGCGGUUUUGUAAGCCAGAUGUGAAAUCCCCGGGCUUAACCUGGGAAUGGCAUUUGGGACUGCAAGGCUGGAGUGCGGCAGAGGAGACUGGAAUUCCUGGUGUAGCAGUGAAAUGCGUAGAUAUCAGGAGGAAUACCGAUGGCGAAGGCAGGUCUCUGGGCUGACACUGACGCUCAUGCACGAAAGCGUGGGGAGCAAACAGGAUUAGAUACCCUGGUAGUCCACGCCCUAAACGAUGUCGACUGGUUGUUGGGGGUUUGACACUCUCAGUAACGAAGCUAACGCGUGAAGUCGACCGCCUGGGGAGUACGGCCGCAAGGUUA